rnacentral:rRNA from 1 species
UACGUAGGGUCCGAGCGUUAAUCGGAAUUACUGGGCGUAAAGCGUGCGCAGGCGGUUAUGUAAGACAGGUGUGAAAUCCCCGGGCUUAACCUGGGAACUGCAUUUGUGACUGCAUAGCUAGAGUACGGUAGAGGGGGAUGGAAUUCCGCGUGUAGCAGUGAAAUGCGUAGAUAUGCGGAGGAACACCGAUGGCGAAGGCAAUCCCCUGGACCUGUACUGACGCUCAUGCACGAAAGCGUGGGGAGCAAACAGG